AUUGAACGCUAGCGGGAUGCCUUACACAUGCAAGUCGAACGGAGUGGCGAACGGGUGAGUAAUGCAUCGGAACGUGCCUAGUAGCGGGGGAUAACUACGCGAAAGCGUAGCUAAUACCGCAUACUAUUGGAGCGGCCUAUAGCGGAUUAGCUAGUUGGUUGGGUAACGGCUCACCAAGGCGACGACCCGUAACUGGUUUGAGAGGAAGACCAGCCACACUGGGACUGAGACACGGCCCAGACUCCUACGGGAGGCAGCAGUGGGGAAUUUUGGACAAUGGGGGAAACCCUGAUCCAGCCAUGCCGCGUGUGUGAAGAAGGCCUUCGGGUUGUAAAGCACUUUAGGCAGGAAAGCGGUACCUGCAGAAUAAGCACCGGCUAACUACGUGCCAGCAGCCGCGGUAAUUC
rnacentral:rRNA from 1 species